GCUUUCCUGGGGCUCAGUUGGUACAGCAUUGCGCUAACAACAUCAAUGUCAUGGGUUCAAAGCCCAGGGAAACAGCA